GAUGAACGCUGGCGGCGUGCCUAAUACAUGCAAGUCGAGCGAACGGACGAGAAGCUUGCUUCUCUGAUGUUAGCGGCGGACGGGUGAGUAACACGUGGAUAACCUACCUAUAAGACUGGGAUAACUUCGGGAAACCGUAGCUAAUACCGGAUAAUAUUUUGAACCGCAUGGUUCAAAAGUGAAAGACGGUCUUGCUGUCACUUAUAGAUGGAUCCGCGCUGCAUUAGCUAGUUGGUAAGGUAACGGCUUACCAAGGCAACGAUGCAUAGCCGACCUGAGAGGGUGAUAGGCCACACUGGAACUGAGACACGGUCCAGACGCCUACGGGAGGCAGCAGUAGGGAAUCUUCCGCAAUGGGCGAAAGCCUGACGGAGCAACGCCGCGUGAGUGAUGAAGGUCUUCGGAUCGUAAAACUCUGUUAUUAGGGAAGAACAUAUGUGUAAGUAACUGUGCACAUCUUGACGGUACCUAAUCAGAAAGCCACGGCUAACUACGUG
rnacentral:rRNA from 1 species